GAUAUACUCCCUUCGUCCGAAAAUACUUGUAUCAAAAUGGAUAAAAAAGGAUAUAUCUAGAAUUAAAAUACGUCUAGAUACAUCCCUUUUUAUUCAUUUUGAUAACAAGUAUUUUCGGACGAAGGGAAUACUUU
rfam:Triticum aestivum genome assembly, contig: Triticum_aestivum_CS42_TGACv1_scaffold_095612_2AL